UACGGGGGGAGCAAGCGUUGUUCGGAUUUCCUGGGCGUAAGGGGCGCGUAGGCGGCCACCGCAGGUCGGUUGUGAAAUCUCCGGGCUUAACCCGGAAAGGUCAAUCGAUACUGCGGGGCUAGAGUGCAGAAGGGGCAACUGGAAUUCUCGGUGUAGCGGUGAAAUGCGUAGAUAUCGAGAGGAACACCUGCGGCGAAGGCGGGUUGCUGGGCUGACACUGACGCUGAAGCGCGAAAGCUAGGGGAGCGAACGGG
rnacentral:rRNA from 1 species